GUUUUAACUCAGAUGUUUCUAUUUUAAUAUUUUGAAUAGUAUAACAUUUCCAAUAUGAAAUUUUUAUACUUGUCAGGGAUUCAAAGCAGUGAAUUUUGAGACUCUGAGACAUUUCCGGUGUCUUACGUGCUAGUUGGAGUUCUGGUAUUUACCUAAAGGAAUGCUUUACUUAGAUGCCAGUUUCUGUCUUAACUUUAGAGAAUUCCUGUUAAUGUUAUUACACUGAUGAUCUAAAGCCAAUGAGAUGUUCUAAUGAGCAGACUAUGUAUGCAUGUGUGUGUAUGGGUGUGUUUGUGACAUCUUUGAUUAUUAAAAACUAGGAAAGUAAUCAUUCACAACUGGAAGACAGUCUUUUAAAAUGGUGGUUUUGAGACUUUUUUGGUAUAAAAGUCUUUCAAAAAAAUAAUUGCAUAGAGGUGACCAACGUCAUGAACAUCAUUGAGGCUACCAACAUCAUUGGCUGUCUUCCAUUUCAGUACCCUUUGGAAAUCCUUAACUAUAUUGUGAUGCUCAGAAAUAAUAUGCAGAAUUUGUGUCUUAAAAUGGAAGAUUCUGAGAGUUCUGAUGAAUCUGCAGUCAGCAUUUUCCACUGUGUGUGGAGUGGAUUCAUUCACUAAACCAGAUGAUGAAGACUCGACUUACUACCGAGGUAAAGUGAUCUCUUGCAAAAUUUUCUCUUACAGUCAACUUUUGCAUAGUAUUUACUUUUAAAAUUUAGCAGUGGUUUAUCUAUCAUUUUUUCUGUUGGUAAUACAAAGUUGGUCAGAGAAAACCAUAGACAUAUGGCUAGUUGAUUUAAAAAUUUUAUUUAAUGUUGGUAACUAACAAAAUAUUGAUGUGUACUGCGACAGGGUGUGGGCUGAACAAAAAUGAACUGGGAGAUACACAGCAACAAUCACAUUAGGAAAUGCUUUAAUUAAAUAUUAAUAUUUUGACUUUUAAAUCAUACUAGUGUGACAUCUAUAUUUUUGCCAGUAUAAAUCUUCAGGAUCAAAUUACUUGUGGUACUGACGGAAUCUCCCUGGCACCUUUUAGUUGAAAAACGGUACCACAAAUAGCAUAUAGAUGUUUUUCUUGGACACUUAUUAUUUGGGUAUUAUAUACCAGGCAGGAUUGUCCCCCUACUUACAUUAUUGGUUCUGUAGUGAGAGUGAAAUAUUAAAAAUUGUAGAAAAGGCCGGGCGCGGUGGCUCAAGCCUGUAAUCCCAGCACUUUGGGAGGCCGAGGCGGGUGGAUCACGAGGUCGAGAGAUGGAGACCAUCCUGGUCAACAUGGUGAAACCCCGUCUCUACUAAAAAUACAAAAAACUAGCUGGGCGUGGUGGCG
rnacentral:lncRNA from 1 species